rnacentral:rRNA from 1 species
AGUGAACGCUGGCGGCAGGCCUAACACAUGCAAGUCGAACGGCAGCACAGUAAGAGCUUGCUCUUAUGGGUGGCGAGUGGCGGACGGGUGAGGAAUACAUCGGAAUCUACCUUUUCGUGGGGGAUAACGUAGGGAAACUUACGCUAAUACCGCAUACGACCUUCGGGUGAAAGCAGGGGACCUUCGGGCCUUGCGCGAUUAGAUGAGCCGAUGUCGGAUUAGCUAGUUGGUGAGGUAAAGGCUCACUAAGGCGACGAUCCGUAGCUGGUCUGAGAGGAUGAUCAGCCACACUGGAACUGAGACACGGUCCAGACUCCUACGGGAGGCAGCAGUGGGGAAUAUAGGACAAUGGGCGCAAGCCUGAUCCAGCCAUGCCGCGUGGGUGAAGAAGGCCUUCGGGUUGUAAAGCCCUUUUGUUGGGAAAGAAAAGCAGUCGAUUAAUACUCGAUUGUUCUGACGGUACCCAAAGAAUAAGCACCGGCUAACUUCGUGCCAGCCGCCGCAGUAACAC